rnacentral:rRNA from 1 species
GAUGAACGCUGGCGGUAUGCAUAACACAUGCAAGUCGAACGGAAUAAAGCUUGCUUUAUUUAGUGGCGAACGGGUGAGUAACGCGUAAGAAUUUACCUUUAGGCUGUGGAUACCUAUUAGAAAUAAUAAUUAAACCACAAUAUCUAGUAUUAAUAAUAUAAUCUAGGAAAAAUUAAUAUUGCCUAAAAAUAAGCUUGCGUCUGAUUAGCUAGUUGGUAGGGUAAAAGCUUACCAAGGCGAAGAUCAGUAGCUGGUUUGAGAGAAUGACCAGCCACACUGGAACUGAGACACGGUCCAGACUCCUACGGGAGGCAGCAGUGAGGAAUAUUCUGCAAUGGGCGAAAGCCUGACAGAGCAAUACCGCGUGAGGGAAUGAAGGCCUACGGGUUGUAAACCUCCUUUUUUAGGGAAGAUCAUAAGACGGUACCUAAAGAAUAAGCAUCGGCUAACCCUGUGCCAGCAGCCGCGGUAAGACAGGGGAUGCAAGUGUUAUCCGGAAUUAUUGGGCGUAAAGCGUCUGUAGGUGGUUUUAAAAGUCUUUUGUUAAAUCUUUAAGCUUAACUUAAAUGCUGCAAAAGAUACUCUAUUACUUGAGUAUAGGAGAGGUAAAGGUAAUUCCCAGUGGAGCGGUGAAAUGCGUAGAUAUUGGGAGGAGCACCAAAGGCGAAGGCACUUUACUGGAAUAUUACUGACACUGAGAGACGAAAGCUAGGGGAGCAAACGGGAUUAGAUACCCCGGUAGUCCUAGCCGUAAACGAUGGAUACUAGAUGUUGCGUAAUUUCGCAGUGUCGUAGCUAACGCAUUAAGUAUCCCGCCUGGGGAGUACGCUCGCAAGAGUGAAACUCAAAGGAAUUGACGCGGGCCCGCACAAGCGGUGGAGCAUGUGGUUUAAUUCGAUGCAACACGAAGAACCUUACCAGGGCUUGAUAUAAUAAGUUAAAUAAGUUGAGAAACUAAAAUAUACUCUUAUUACAGGUGGUGCAUGGCUGUCGUCAGUUCGUGUCGUGAGAUGUUGGGUUAAGUCCCGCAACGAACGUAACCCUUGUUUUUAGUUACUUUUCUAAAAAGACUGCCGAUGAAAAUCGGAGGAAGGUAAGGAUGAUGUCAAGUCAUCAUGCCCCUUAUGCCCUGGGCUACACACGUGCUACAAUGGAAAAUACAAAAAGUUGCAAAAUUGCGAAAUUCUGCUAAUCUUUAAAAUUUUCCAAAGUUCGGAUUGUAGGCUGAAACUCGCCUACAUAAAGUUGGAAUCGCUAGUAAUCGCAGGUCAGCUAUACUGCGGUGAAUACGUUCCCGGGCCU